rnacentral:rRNA from 1 species
AUUGAACGCUGGCGGCAGGCCUAACACAUGCAAGUCGAACGAGUGGCGGACGGGUGAGUAAUGUCUGGGAAACUGCCUGAUGGACGGGGAUAACUACUGGCAACUGUAGCUAAUACCGCCUACCAUCGCUUCUUCCCUUAUGGGAUUUGCUAGUAGGUGGGGUAAAGGCUCACAUAGGCGACGAUCCCUCGCUGGUCUUAGAGUAUGACCAGCCACACUGGAACUGUGACACGGGCCAGACUCCUACGGUAGGCAGCAGUGGGGAAUAUUGCACAAGGGGCGCAAGCCGGAUGCAGCCAUGCCGCGUGUAUGAAGAAGGCCUUCGGGUUGUAAAGUACUUUCAGCGGGGAGGCGGUACCCGAAGAAGAAGCAACGGCUAACUCCGUGCCAGCAGCCGCGGUAAGUG